UGGGGAAUUUUGGACAAUGGGCGAAAGCCUGAUCCAGCAAUGCCGCGUGUGUGAAGAAGGCCUUCGGGUUGUAAAGCACUUUUGUCCGGAAAGAAAUCCUUGGCUCUAAUACAGUCGGGGGAUGACGGUACCGGAAGAAUAAGCACCGGCUAACUACGUGCCAGCAGCCGCGGUAAUACGUAGGGUGCAAGCGUUAAUCGGAAUUACUGGGCGUAAAGCGUGCGCAGGCGGUUUGCUAAGACCGAUGUGAAAUCCCCGGGCUCAACCUGGGAACUGCAUUGGUGACUGGCAGGCUAGAGUAUGGCAGAGGUGGGUAGAAUUCCACGUGUAGCAGUGAAAUGCGUAGAGAUGUGGAGGAAUACCGAUGGCGAAGGCAGCCCCCUGGGCCAAUACUGACGCUCAUGCACGAAAGCGUGGGGAGCAAACAGGAUUAGAUACCCUGGUAGUCCACGCCCUAAACGAUGUCAACUAGUUGUUGGGGAUUCAUUUCCUAGUAACGUAGCUAACGCGUGAAGUUGACCGCCUGGGGAGUACGGUCGCAAGAUUAAAACUCAAAUGGAAUUGACGGGGUCAUAGCUGUUU
rnacentral:rRNA from 1 species